rnacentral:rRNA from 1 species
UACAGAGGUCUCAAGCGUUGUUCGGAAUCACUGGGCGUAAAGGGUGCGUAGGUGGCGUGGUAAGUCAGAUGUGAAAGCCCGGGGCUCAACCUCGGAAUUGCAUCCGAUACUACCAUGCUAGAGUACUGAAGAGGUGACUAGAAUUCUCGGUGUAGCAGUGAAAUGCGUAGAUAUCGAGAGGAAUACCAACGGCGAAGGCAGGUCACUGGGCAGUUACUGACGCUGAGGAGCGAAAGCAUGGGGAGCGAACAGG